CACGGGGGGAGCAAACGUUGUUCGGAAUCACUGGGCGUAAAGGGCGCGUAGGCGGCUUCGUAAGUGGUGUGUGAAAUGUCCUGGCUCAACCAGGGAAUUGCGCUCCAAACUGCGAGGCUUGAGGGCAGUAGAGGAAGCUGGAAUUCCAGGUGUAGCGGUGAAAUGCGUAGAUAUCUGGAGGAACACCGUUGGCGAAGGCGAGCUUCUGGGCUGUCCCUGACGCUGAAGUGCGAAAGCUGGGGGAGCAAACAGG
rnacentral:rRNA from 1 species